CAGCAGCCGCGGUAAUACGUAGGUGGCAAGCGUUGUCCGGAUUUAUUGGGCGUAAAGGGAGCGCAGGCGGUUUAGUAAGUCUGAAGUUAAAGGCAUUGGCUCAACCAAUGUAUGCUUUGGAAACUGGGAAACUUGAGUGCAGAAGAGGAGAGUGGAAUUCCACGUGUAGCGGUGAAAUGCGUAGAGAUGUGGAGGAACACCAGUGGCGAAGGCGACUCUCUGGUCUGUAACUGACGCUGAGGAGCGAAAGCGUGGGGAGCGAACAGGAUUAGAUACCCGAGUAGUCCCUGUCUCUUAUACC
rnacentral:rRNA from 1 species